rnacentral:rRNA from 1 species
CUACGGGGUGCACCAGUGGGGAAUAUUGCACAAUGGAGGAAACUCUGAUGCAGCAACGCCGCGUGGAGGAUGACACUUUUCGGAGCGUAAACUCCUUUUAUAUAGGAAGAAGAUGACGGUACUAUAUGAAUAAGCGCCGGCUAACUCCGUGCCAGCAGCCGCGGUAAUAAGGAGGGCGCAAGCGUUACUCGGAAUCACUGGGCGUAAAGAGCGUGUAGGCGGAUUAAAAAGUCAGAAGUGAAAUCCUAUAGCUUAACCAUAGAACUGCUUCUGAAACUCUUAAUCUAGAAUAUGGGAGAGGUAGAUGGAAUUUCUGGUGUAGGGGUAAAAUCCGUAGAGAUCAGAAGGAAUACCGAUUGCGAAGGCGAUCUACUAGAACAUUAUUGACGCUGAGACGCGAAAGCGUGGGGAGCAAACAGGAUUAGAUACCCGUGUAGUC